UGGGGAAUAUUGGACAAUGGGGGCAACCCUGAUCCAGCGAUGCCGCGUGUGUGAAGAAGGCCUACGGGUUGUAAAGCACUUUCGGUGGGGAGGAGGACUUGAUGGUUAAGAGCUGUUGAGUUGGACGUUACCCACAUAAGAAGCACCGGCUAACUCCGUGCCAGCAGCCGCGGUAAUACGGAGGGUGCAAGCGUUAAUCGGAAUUACUGGGCGUAAAGGGUUCGUAGGCGGUGAUAUAAGUUAAGUGUGAAAGACCUGGGCUUAACCUGGGGCAGUCACUUAAGACUGUAUAACUGGAGUAUGGGAGAGGGUAGUGGAAUUUCCGGUGUAGCGGUGAAAUGCGUAGAGAUCGGAAGGAACACCAGUGGCGAAGGCGGCUACCUGGCCCAAUACUGACGCUGAGGAACGAAAGCGUGGGGAGCAAACAGG
rnacentral:rRNA from 1 species